GAGAUUAGAAUUUUAUUCCAUAUAAUAUAUAUAUAAUAUAUUAUUUUAAAGGAUAGAAUAACAUCUACACUCAAUAAUUUAUUACUAAAAAUUUUCGCGACGAGUCAGACUCGUCAAAAUACGGCAAGGGAUUAAUAAAAUGUUGACGAUUAAAUCAAAAACUGGUUUCAAGAUUUAGUUCUCAUAUUUAUCGUCGAUCCGAAAUUAUCGCGCGACAUAGUGCAACAAAUCCACACGGGAUACCACUGAAAUAAAAAAUGCUAGAACAAUAGUAUCUCAUGGGUGAGGUAGAAAUCUAUUGAUACGAGCGUCGCACAGUGGUUUAAAACAGGAAGAAAGUAAUUUUUGUUAAUGUUAAGUAAACAAAAACUGCUUUCUUGUAGUUCCAUAGUAGGAUAUAUGACUAAUUAAAAUCGUUAAAUAUUUUCUCUAAAUACCUUUAGAUUGUUCCAAAAAUGUAGUAUGCAAGUUAGAGAAACAAAAAUAACUGCGUUUGUAGCUAAAACCGCAUCACCUUUUUAAACAGUAUUGAGAGUAGCUGAGAAAUUUGAAACAGAAAAGCUUAUAUACUUUAAUUAUAUACAUAAUAAGAAAAUAUGUUACGUUCGUUAAAUUAAUAGAUUUUAGUAGAAAACGAGUUUCACAUAAAUGAAUUACGUUUACACGAAUGUAUUAUUUAAGUUUUCCUUUCCGGCUCAGAUAAAAACGGUAAAAAAUAUGACUUUCUUAUCUUAUCCGUCACUUCAACAAAUUGUAGUUUCAAGAAGUAAAUUUUCAAGGUAUUCAAUUGUUUGUUAUUAAUAACAAACGUUAAGCGAUUCCAAUGAAAUUUUCAGCAUGCAUAUAAGUUACCGAGAUUUACAAAACACAUUCCUUUUAAUUUUCGUUCUAGACAAAAUUCAGAUGAAAGGAUAGAAAAAAAACAUCAUUUCUUAGAUUUUUUUAUCUACUACUGUAAAUUACAGAAAAAUUAUUUUUCUGAACUUUACAGAAAAAUUACAGAAACGCAUUAUUUAAAUUUUCUUUUCAGGCUUAGAUAAAAUCGGUAAAAAAUGAGUGUUUCUUAUCUUAUCCGUCAUUCUAACGAAUUGGAGCUUCAAGUAAAUUUUCAUGGUCUUCAAUUAUUUGUAGUUUUUAACUACGUCAACCGUUUUAAGUGAAAUAUGUAACAUGGGUGUGAGUUAUUUAAAUUUUCCAUUUAGACUCGCAUAAAAACGGCAAGAAACGCGAGUUUCUUACAACAUCUGUCAUCCCAAUGAAUCGUAAUUUCAAAAAAUAUAAUAAAUUGUAGUAAUUGUUAUUUCAUUUUAAACGGUGUACGAACACAAUCGUAAGCCAUUGUAAAUUAAUUUAACAAAAAAUAGAAUCUAAAUAAUUUGUUUCUGUUGAGAACUACGUAUGUAUAAUCUUAAAUGUUUCCAAUCUUUUUUUAUAGUUUUUCAUCCAUAUUUGUCAUAAAUGCAUAAAAUUUGGAAGUUCAAUGAUGAUUUUAUUCGCUAAUGGUGUUCAUUUAUUUUACACCUUAGAAACACAAAAGGUUGCUCUAGAAUUUUUUAAUACACAAGAACCUAAGAAAAAUUGGAUAAACUUUAGACAAAGAACAAGAGAGACAGUACAUUAUUACUGGCAUGUUUAGAAAAUGUGUAGUGCAAUGUAGGUUAAUUUUAGUACUUAAUUUCUACUUUAUAAAAUAUCAAGGCCUUAAUACACGUUUUUAAGUUUUCUACUUAUUAACCCGAUGAGACCCAUAAUUCUUGUUUAAGCCCAAGCAUCACACAUAAAAAUGUAUGACAUUACAAAUGCAAUUGAAAUACAAAAUGAUAUCAUGCUUUUCCAUCGUAUACUCGAAAAUAACGUAUUUUGAGGUUAUGUUCAAAAUUUACCGAAUUAGGUGCUAACGUGACCUUAAAUUCGGAUUCAGCGUGCCAAAAGUUCUUGACCUUUCUUUCUUGCAUAGCCGAUUCAGUCCAACUUGAUUCAAUCGUAGCCUACGAAAGAGUUAUUACAAUUUCAAGAGCUUUUGAAAUAAAAACCGUGAAACCGGUCAUCUUGACCGUUUCGGUAUUUCGUGUUAAAGAAUACAAACACGUUAUCCGUGAAGAUUAAAAUAAUGGGACUGCAUUCACAUCAGGGAUCCACGAGUCCGCGCAAAAAUCAUCAGAAAUCGGUACGAAGCAACGAUAAGCCAGGCCUACCGGUUCACCUUGGCUCCGAUACAGCCUCCUGCACCGAUCCGCGGGUCGUCAUUCGCAACGGACAUGCACUUUGGAACCGAAGCGAUCGGAUCCAUCUGUUCCCUCUCGCGGUUCGGGUGAAAGUUGCGAAAACCCGUCGGAACAUUUCGGAAAUACAUGCGCGCCGAUGGAAAAACUGUCGUCCGAGUGAUCGGGUCCUCGCGCGUUAAUCACUCACCGAGGUCAUUGGAGGCCGCGUUGCGAAAACGCUUCGAGUAUUCCGGCGUCCACCGACACGUCCUCAGAUCGUUCCCGCAACGGGAGACCGGUUCUCGUAUCGCGGCCACUUUCCACGAGUGUACUCCUCAUAAACACCAAAAAGGAUAAUAAAAUGGAAGAAUCUCUGGCAUCAUGACGAGUCCUGAAUUUUUUAGGCUCAUGAUUCUGUAACUGCAGAAGAUAUUUAAAGACUAAAUAUACAGGGUGUCCCAUUUAAGUUGAGACAUAUGACACCUCGUAGAUAUGUGAUUUAAUAAAUGACAUUAAUAACACAUUAAUAACAUAUUAAUGACAUAUUAACAAAUGAUAGUAAUCAUUUUGCAUAUUUGUCAUAACCUCUUAACGAAGCAUUUAGAAAUCUAUGUUCAUAAAAUAUUUUUUUCUUAUUUUUACUCGUAGCAUAUGCAAAGUUUUGCGGAAUGAACUUGGGCACUUUGUACAUCAUGGAAACAUUUUUAAACAAAAAUGAAUAACAAAUAAUGAAAAUAGAUGCUUGGAGCUACAAAAUGAAUCCAGAUUCCAGAUUCUCUC